ensembl:lncRNA
GCUGGGAGUGUUGCUGCCCCCGGGGCUCUGACCUGCCUGUGGGUUUUGCUCUGCAGAGCCAGGCCAUGCGGGUGGUGCGCACGGUGGGCCAGGCCUUCGAGGUGUGCCACAAGCUGAGCCUGCAGCACGCCCUGCAAAACGCUGACGGCCAGGCGGACGGUGCCAGUGACAAGUCUGUGGAGGAGCAGCCACUAGAAGUUCACCAGAUGAAGGGCUCCAAGAUCACAAACGUGGAUGAGGUUGGCAUCGACACUGAUGGGAUCUGUGUGUCGGAGAGGGGGCCUGGAGACCUACCUACUGCCAGGGCCGAGCUCGGCAUGCUGAAGCCUGGACAGGUCUCAAAAGACA